rnacentral:rRNA from 1 species
AUACGGAGGAUGCGAGCGUUAUCCGGAUUUAUUGGGUUUAAAGGGUGCGCAGGCGGAAGAUUAAGUCGGCGGUGAAAUUUUGCAGCUCAACUGUAAAAGUGCCAUCGAUACUGGUUUUCUUGAGUGUGGAUGAAGUAGGCGGAAUUUGUGGUGUAGCGGUGAAAUGCAUAGAUAUCACGAGGAACUCCGAUUGCGCAGGCAGCUUACUAGGCCAUAACUGACGCUCAGGCACGAAGGCGUGGGGAUCAAACAGGAUUAGAUACCCUGGUAGUCCACGCAGUAAACGAUGAUUACUCGCUGUUUGCGAUACACAGUAAGCGGCUUAGCGAAAGCGUUAAGUAAUCCACCUGGGGAGUACGUUCGCAAGAAUGAAACUCAAAUGAAUUGACGGGG